UUCUUUCUCCCCUUCUCUGAAAUCCAGCAGCCGUCUUUCCUCCUUUCCCCCCUCUAACCCCUUCUUCCCAGCUCGAUUAAGAUUACUUCUUUUUUUCUUUUAAAUUUCAAAGCCCACCAAAAUUUCAGUCUUUAUUUUUACUGGGUUAAGAAAAAGCAACAAUUUUGGUGAUGGAUUCAGAUCAGGGGAAGCUAUUUAUAGGAGGGAUUUCAUGGGAAACAUCAGAGGAGAAAUUGAAGGACUAUUUUGGCAAAUACGGUGACGUAUUGCAGACUGUAGUGAUGCGGGAUAAAGUUUCUGGCAAGCCCAGAGGAUUUGGGUUUGUGGUUUUUGCAGAUCCCAAUGUUCUUGAUGGGGUUCUUCAAGAUAGGCAUGUCAUUGAUGGCCGCACUGUUGAGGCUAAGAGAGCUUUAUCAAGAGAGGAACAACAGAUCUCUAAAGUUGGAAACGCUAAUACUGGGAGGAGCUUUGGUGGUGGUGGUGGUGGAAAUACUAGGACAAAGAAGAUAUUUGUUGGAGGAUUACCUCCGACUUUAACUGAUGAGGCUUUUCGUCAGUAUUUUGAAUCUUAUGGUGAUGUUACUGAUGUGGUAAUCAUGUUUGACCAGCAAACGAACCGACCCCGUGGAUUUGGAUUUAUUUCUUUUGACUCUGAGGAAGCUGUUGAUAGGGUCUUGCACAAGACAUUUCAUGAUUUAAAUGGUAAGCAAGUGGAAGUGAAGCGCGCUCUUCCAAAGGAUGCUAAUCCUGGUGGGAGUGGCCGUGCCAUGGGUGGCGGUGGUGGAGGUUACCAGGGAUAUGGUGCAUCCGGUGGUAAUUCAAAUUCUUAUGAGAGCCGAAUGGAUUCCAACAGGUACAUGCAAUCUCAAAACACAGGAGGGGGAUAUCCACCUUACGGAUCUUCUGGAUAUAAUACUACUGGUUAUGGAUAUGGUCCUACCAAUAAUGGUAUGGGUUAUGGAGGCUAUGGAAAUUUUGGAGGUGCUAAUCCUGGAUAUGGUGGCCCCGCUGCUGCUGCUGCUUAUGGAAACCCAAAUGUGCCUAAUGCUGGUUAUGGAAGUGGUCCACCAGGUGCACCAAGGAACACGUGGAACUCUCAGGGAUCCUCUGGAUAUGGAAAUGUAGGCUAUGGAAAUGCUCCCUGGGGUGCUUCUAACACUAGUGGUGGUGGCCUAGGUGGUGCUGGAGCUGCUGCUGGACAUUCUCCCAGUGGAGCUGCGGGAUAUGGAAAUCAAGGUUACGGUUAUGGAGGAUAUGGUACAAAUGAUGGGGCUUAUGGUAACCCGGCUACUUAUGGUGGUGGCGGGCGUGCAGGGGGUACUCCAAAUAGUAAUUCCUCAGCUGGAAAUGGUGCUGGAGAUCUACAAGCUGGUGCUGGGGGUUAUAUGGGAGGUGGCUAUGGUGAUACAUCUGGGAAUGCUGGGUAUGCAGGAUGGAGGUCGGACCCCUCACAAGCUUCUGGCAAUUAUGGAGGCCAAGCUGGGUAUGGUGGAGGCUAUGGUGGUGCACCAACUCGGCAAGCUCAGCAGCAGUAACUGUAACCCUUGAUGGAGACUUAAACUGCGUCAUAUAUUGGAAUCUAUACACACAAUGCUUUCAGAUUGGUGCAGGAGGAGAGGCUCAAGUCAUAAACUGGGUGAAUUGAAGUUCCUUCACAGGGGCUAAUCACAACUUUUUGCUGAGUGUUUGGUGUGGGAUGUUACGGGAAAAUGAAGUUUGGCUGGGUUGAUUUGGUGCUUUACCCUGAAAUUGUCAUGUUGAAGCAGGCCAUGCUGCUGUUAAAGAAUUUGGAUGUCUCGAUCUUCAUACAAUUUGAGAUGGGUGGAAGAUUCAUUACCUGACAACAUGUGGUAUGUUGUCUAAUGCAGAUGGAGAAAUCAUCACCACUUAAUAUACUGGUGACAUAGUAGUUGUAGGCUCUAUGGCAUUAUCAUGGCUAGCAGAAGUUGAAUGAUUAGUUACAAUAGCAACAAUUUUGGUCUGCUGUCUAAGAAAAGUUUUUUAUGGUAAUAAAUGAUUGAAUAUUUUGGAUUUAUAUAGGUGAUUUGACUCGUUAAUCUUGAUAAAAGCCUGGAGCUUGGCAACUUGACUGUUUGAUUUUGAUCUUGCUAGAUAUUAAUCACCAGUGUUUUGUUUCAAACAUCAAAACAUGAUGCAUGGACGUUGCAUCGAGACAUCGUAUUAGUUGUAGAGGCUACUUCGGUUGUAAGCUCUGAUGUAUUUUGGCUGUAUGCUGCUAGUGAACUGUCUUCCUCUUUUAUCA